UUGCGGUAUGGCUGGUACUGAGA
rnacentral:miRNA from 1 species